GGUCCGGUUGCUAUGGGAAUAGCGAGCGGUGAUCCCGCCCUGCGACCAGGAGGAGUUGCCUUCCUCUUUCCUGGCCCGGCGUCGGGGUUUCCUCCUGUUGCUUGGUGGACGCCGUGAGUGCGCGUCCAGGGCUCCGGGCGCCCAGAAAAGUGCUGUCACAAGGCGUGAUGUGGUGCGCCUCUUUCAGAUAGCUUCCAUUCCCCACCGACAUUAACUUUCUUUCGCCCCCUUGGUGCAAGGAAUUGAAUUUAAGAACUAAGAGGUGCUAGGUCAGCCAUGUCCUCGUCCCUCAGGUCGGCCACAUCCUCGUCCUUCAGGUCGGCCAUGUCCUCGUCCCUCGGGUCAGCCAUGUCCUCGUUCUUCAGGUUGGCCAUGUCCUCGUCCCUCGGGUCAGCCAUGUCCUCGUCCCUCGGGUCGGCCAUGUCCUCGUUCUUCAGGUUGGCCACGUCCUCGUCCUUCAGGGGUCAUCACUGCACCUACCCGAGAACACAGCGGCUCAGCAGCUUGCACGCCCGUGCCCUCCCGCCAGGAUCCUUUGCCCUGAGACCCCAAGCUUCUUGACAUUCUGUGCAUAAGGGACACUCAGUGACUUGUCGAUGUGGCCUGCUUGCUGUUUCCAGAGGCCCAUGGCUCACCCGCUCCCAUCAUGCCCCUCACCACCACCACCACCAGGAUGCCAGAAACAUCCCGACACAAGGCGGUGAUUGUCUGGCUUCAGAGAGGGGUCUCACUGACUGGUUUUGAGAGGGACCCUCAAGCUGCUCUCUGUAGAGAGCAGACUAGGGGAGUGGGGAUAACGAAACCUAGAGUUGAGUCCCAAGGUUCUUGGGGCUCACAUGGUAGGGACACUGAAUCUUACAUGCCUGUGCAUCCAUGUUUGCUGCUUCUCUGCCCACAACAAGGAAGUAAUCAUUCUAG